rnacentral:lncRNA from 1 species
GAUUGAUUUGUUGUUUGAAGAAACUUUCUGAAUUAUCGAUCACGAUUGAUUCAUCAUUUGGAGAAGCUUUCAGAAUCAUCGAUCAUGAUUGAUUCAUCUUUUAGAAAAGCUUUCAGAAUCAUUGAUCACGGUCGAUUCAUUAUUUGGAAAAACUUUCUAAAUGUACAUCGUCAUUUUUCCUUAUAAGCUUUGCAGGGGGGGGAGAGGUCGCAAUCGAUGCAUUGAGAGUGAUGGGCUGAGUGGUGUGCCC